rnacentral:rRNA from 1 species
GACGAACGCUGGCGGCAUGCUUAACACAUGCAAGUCGAACGGAAAGUCCCUGCUUUUGUGUGGUGCUCAAGUCGCGCACGUGUGAGUAACACGUGAAUCUCCUGCCCUUGACUUUGGUAUAACUUCAGGAAACUGGGGCUAAUACCGUAUAGUAGCUCCUCCUCCUUGCUUGGUGUUGGAAGGAUUCGGCUGCUGGGGGUCGACUCUCGUGUUAUCAGCUUGUGGGGGGGGGAGUGGCCUACCACGGCUUUGACUGGUCGCCGGCCUGAGAGGGGGACCGGGCACAUAGGGAGAGAGAGACGGCGCAGACACCGACGGGAGGCAGAAGUGGGGAAUAUUGCACAAAGGGCGGAAGACUGAGGUAGAAACGCAGCGUGCGGGAUGAGGGGCUUCGGGGUGUAAACAGUGUUCGCAGGAGACGAGGAGGGAGUGACGGUAAUGGGUAAAGAAGCAACGGCUAAAUACGUG